UGGUGCCAGAUUUUACUGCCUGACUCCAAAUCCCAUUUCUACUGUGUGCUCACUAGGUGGCCUCAGGGAAGUUACUCUAGCUCUGUACCUCAGUUACUGUAUCUCUAAAAUGGGUAUAAAAGUAAUAACCUCUGCUCAUGGGGCCAGUGGGAGGAUGGAAGGAGUUAAUUGGUUUAUAAAGUGCUGAGCGGAGUGUCUGUUCACAGCCUGUGUUCAAGGUGUUAACAGCUACAUGACCGUGGUGCUUAUUAUUUCCAUCGCCCUUCUGAGUUUGGGGGAUGGGGAGGCUCUAGGGUGUUGGAGGACACCCAUGUGAAAAAUAUGCAGGUCCAGUGGGGUAUAUUUUCAGCCUUGUGGUUUGGUUACUACCAGCUGCCACUUAUGAGUAAGGAAUAAAGACUACAUACUGCCAGUGAGAAAGUGGAGAAAUUAAGCUCAGUGAGGACAGAGGCCAAUAUGGCGAUAAAGAAAGCGUCCCUGCCUGGAGCCCAGGGUCAAGGGUCCUCUGUCCUCAGACCAAGGCCCUGCCCUCUCCGGGCUUCAGCAGCCCCAGCUCCCCCACUCCGCCCCCCCCUGGGAAUCAAAGGGUGAGAAACUCACCCGUGGACCAAUGUGUCAGCACAUCAGACCCCCUAGGCCCCACCGGAACCCCAAGGGUCAGGGCUGGAGGGGAAGGUGGCUAUCCCCAGAGGACCACAGCGUUAGAGGGGCUCAGACACAUUCAGGCCUUUCUGCCUCUGAUUCACACCCCAGGAGGAAGUUAGGGGUAGAGCCCGCCUACCAUCCACCCAUUAGCCUCACGGAGGCCAAUGACCUCAUUUGUCAAGGGCCCCGGUGGGCAGAACACAGAGUCCCUGGCCUUGGCCCAACAUUUUAUCCAGAAUCCUGCAACAGGAAGGGCCCGAGAGGGGUCACAUCAUCCAUGCCCCUGCCUCCAUCACCCUUCAGUUUCCCCUUUUUCAAAAAAAACACAUCCCCAGUACCGAGAGGUCAUCCAAUAAAUACACUCAGAUGAGUGUGAUGUUGACACUGUGGAAACAUUCUUAUUAUCAUUAUUAUAUUAAUAAUAAUCAUAAUAAUAGCUGCCAAAGACAUGCCCAGCUAAUAAGAACUGCACAGGCAGCAUUUCAAUCAAUCCUUGUAACAACAUAUUUAAAGUCAUUUUCCUGCCAUUCCCAUUGUACAGCCAGGAAAACUGAGGCUGAGAACCAAACCUGCCGGGAACCACCCAAGCAGCAAGUAGCGAAGCCAAAGGUUUGAGCCCAGCCUUCCUGGACACACGAGCCCACCUGCUGGGCUCCAUCUCCUCUCUCCCUCAUUACAUGGCCAUUUUCCGAGCUCCCACCACAGGCCCAACCCUUAACAGCCCUUUGAAGCAGGCCUCCCUAUCACACCCAUUUUGCAGAUAAGGAAACCGAGGUAGACUGGGUGAUGGGACCUGCCCAGGGGCAAGACUGGAACUGGAGUUGAUCUCCUUGUAGAACCAUGGUCAUCCUUGCUGGGCUGUGACUCCGGAGGUCCAGUCAUCCCACCCGUCUCCCCCUUCCCCUCCCCACUAGCAGGGUCCCCUUGUCCUCCUGGGGCAGGGAAGACUGAGGAAGCCUUUCUCCUGCAAAGCCCAACACACUCAUGCCCAGCCAGAGACAGGUGGUCCAUGGGCAGGGGUGGGGGGCAUUCCGGGGAUGGGUAAGGAAAGGGCCCAAACCCGUUCCUCCAGCUGCUGGGGUGCUGGAGCAUCUUCAAGCUGUGGCCUGCCCAGUGGGCUCCCAAAGUCACCUGCGGGUGCGCCCGAGCCUGGCGGGUGGCCAGUGGGUGCAGGAGAUCCACCCAGACAGCUUUGGAGCUUCAGGGCACCCUGGGCCAGCUCACACCUGCGGUGGGGGCGGGCAGCAUGGCCAGGUGCCUCCAGAAACGGGGAGGCCAGAGGGGGGAGGGUGUCAGGUGAAAAGGGGCAGGAAUGAGGUGGCAGGAAUCCUGCAGCAGCUCCCGACUGGCUGUGUGACCUUGAGCAAAACAUGCAUCUUCUCCAAGCCUUUUGUUCCCUCCCCUAGAAAGGAAAGCUUCCAAAAGAGAGGCACAAAACUCCAGACAGCCAUUUGAGGGCCCGGAUCCAAUGCCCACCCCUGGGGAUUCUGCCAUCCUGCUCCAUAGACAGGGAGUUGCCGAAUGUGGAGCAUUCAGCCCCGGGCUCAGCGUUCUGGCUGCAGCAUCGCUGGCUCAGGGUGGGGAGGGGGAGGGGCCAGGGUGUCUGAGACCUUGGAGGCCAGAGAUGGUUAAACCUGCUCAGUCCCCAGGCAGCGGAUCCCUCCAGGGGAUGAGGUAGCCACGUGGCCAGCCCACACCAAACGGAGGCAGGCGUGGAUGGUGCAGGGAAACCUAUCCCCGCUGCCGGAGAAACCAGCCAAAGCUCCCACCCUCUGCCAGUGAGUCAGCUGUCACUGCAAGAGCCACAGGAGGCCAGGGAGGCCAGAUGAAAUACAUCGGGACUCGGCUCCCAGUUCUGCCCAUCCUGGCUGUGUUUGCUGAGUCACCACCCUCUCUGAGGCUCGGUUUUCUCAUCUGUAAAAAGAGAUCACUAUUGCUGACCUGUUGGGGUCAUCCUCAAGUUGUACCAUAUGAAAUUACAAUAUUCCACCCUUGUUGGCCUACAAAAAAGCACUUUCAUGUGUUUCAGCCCAAUGCGGGUGGGGCAGCAUAUAACAGAGGGCAAUCAACACUGAAAUAAAUUUACUUAUUUAUUUAUUUUUUCUAUUUUGCUUUUUAGGGCUGCACCUGUGGCAUAUGGAAGUUCCCAGGCUAGGGGUCGAAUUAGAGCUACAGCCGAUGGCCUACGCCACAGCCACAGCAUCAAGCCAGAUCCAAGCCCUGUCUGCGACCUAUACCACAGCUCGAGGCAAUGCUGGAUCCUUAACUCACUGAAUGAUGCCCAGGAUUGAACCCGCACCCUUGUGGACACUAGUUGGGUUCCUUUUUGCUGAGCCAUGUCAGGAACGCCAAUGCUGAAAUUUAAAACUCUCCUCUAGUCUAGCAGAAGAAUGCAAUUUUUUCUCAUUCAUGGGACAACAUAUAAAACAUCUCAUCACACCCCAAAUAUAACAAC
ensembl:lncRNA